rfam:Hydnomerulius pinastri MD-312 unplaced genomic scaffold scaffold_14, whole genome shotgun sequence.
GCCCCGAUGGCUCAGUUGGUUAGAGCGCAGGUCUCAUAUCGUGAGGUAUGAGUAAUCAGCUGAUUACGCAAUCCUGAGGUCGCAAGUUCGAACCUUGCUCGGGGCA